rnacentral:rRNA from 1 species
GACGAACGCUGGCGGCGUGCUUAACACAUGCAAGUCGAACGGAAAGGCCCUGCUUCUGUGGGGGGCUCGAGUGGCGAACGGGUGAGUCACACGUGAGUAACCUGCCCUUGACUAUGGGAUAACUUCAGGAAACGGGGGCUAAUACCGGAUAGGAGAUCCGGCAGCAUGGGGGGGGUGGGAAAGUUUCGGCGGUGGGGGAUGGACGCGCGGCUUGUCAGCUUGUUGGUGGGGGUGGGGUUUACCAAGGCUUUGACGGGUAGCCGGGCCGGGGGGGUGACCGGCCACAGUGGGACUGGGAUACGGCCCCGACUCCUACGGGAGGCAGCGGUGGCGAUUAUUGCACUAUGGGCGGAAGCCUGAUGCUGCAACGCCCCUUCCGGGAUAGCGGCCUUCGGGUUGUAGUCCUCUUGCGCCUGUGACGAAGCGUGUGUGACGGUAAUGGGUAAAGAAGCACCGGCUAACUACGUG